UUCUUAUCGAGAGAGGCGGAGGGACAGGCCCGAUGAAGCCCAGCAACCGAUUCCAGUGCACAGCCAACCUGGCUGAAGCGCAAGGAAUGUCAUGGUGCUAAUUCCUUCAAAACUGCGGACAAUAUGGCAGUUUUGACAGAUGAGAA
rnacentral:ncRNA from 2 species